AGUGAGAUUCUGCCCCCAGGUCUCUGGAAAUGGUCCACAGAGACAGGAAGAGAGCAGGAGGCUUGGGUUGGUGUGAGGGACAGGUGAAAGAGGGCAGCCGCUGACCCAGGAGGAGCCUGAAGCAACAGGAGGACAGAUAAACUAAGAGAAAGUAGAGUGAUCCACUUCUUUUGUUGGGUCACAUGGCCUCCUGCUGUCUCAGGUGGCUGCUUUCCCAACCGAAGUGACAGGAGUCAGGACCAGGUCCUUCACUGGGUGCACAGGCACAGCCAAGUCAGCAAGCAUCCAGAGCUUGGGGUCUGAGUCCCGGAAGGAGACACCCUGACAACCUGCUCUCCUCCAGAUGCGGCUCCUGAGACGUCCUGCUUGAAAUCGCACUCAGAGAGAAGCAUCAAGCAUGGUUUACAUUAGAAACGGAGACAGAGUUGAAGGAGGAACGGGAAAGCUGGCCUUUGGACGAUGAGGACUACAGGGGUCUCCUCCAUUUCUUCACUCAACACUUACAGAGCACCUCCUCAGACCCAGACUGAGGGCCAAGUGGAGGUACAGGCAAUACUCGGCAUCCUUUCUCCGACACUGCUCAUUCUGAGGACUAUGGUGACGCCCACUGCACAUCAGAGUGCCAGCAUCGGAGAGCUCAAAUACCACG